CUACUUACCUGGCAGAGGAGAUAUAUGUUCACAAAGGUGGUUUUUAUCCCCAGGGUGAGAUUUAUCCAUUACACUCUGGGUGUGCUGACCACUGUGAUUUCCCCAAAUGUGGGAAACUUGAUGGCAAAAUUUGUGGCAAUGGGGGACUGCAUUUGUGCUCUUUCCUG
ensembl:snRNA U1 U1 spliceosomal RNA